GACGAACGCUGGCGGCGUGCUUAACACAUGCAAGUCGAACGGAAAGGCCCUGCUUUUGUGGGGUGCUCGAGUGGCGAACGGGUGAGUAACACGUGAGUAACCUGCCCUUGACUUUGGGAUAACUUCAGGAAACUGGGGCUAAUACCGGAUAGGAGCUCCUGCUGCAUGGUGGGGGUUGGAAAGUUUCGGCGGUUGGGGAUGGACUCGCGGCUUAUCAGCUUGUUGGUGGGGUAGUGGCUUACCAAGGCUUUGACGGGUAGCCGGCCUGAGAGGGUGACCGGCCACAUUGGGACUGAGAUACAGCCCAGACUCCUACGGGAGGCAGCAGUGGGGAAUAUUGCACAAUGGGCGGAAGCCUGAUGCAGCAACGCCGCGUGCGGGAUGACGGCCUUCGGGUUGUAAACCGCUUUCGCCUGUGACGAAGCGUGAGAGACGGUAAUGGGUAAAGAAGCACCGGCUAACUACGU
rnacentral:rRNA from 1 species